rnacentral:rRNA from 1 species
UGGGGAAUAUUGGACAAUGGGGGGAACCCUGAUCCAGCCAUGCCGCGUGUGUGAAGAAGGCCUUAUGGUUGUAAAGCACUUUAAGCGAGGAGGAGGCUCUUCUAGUUAAUACCUAGGAUGAGUGGACGUUACUCGCAGAAUAAGCACCGGCUAACUCUGUGCCAGCAGCCGCGGUAAUACAGAGGGUGCGAGCGUUAAUCGGAUUUACUGGGCGUAAAGCGUGCGUAGGCGGCUUUUUAAGUCGGAUGUGAAAUCCCCGAGCUUAACUUGGGAAUUGCAUUCGAUACUGGGAAGCUAGAGUAUGGGAGAGGAUGGUAGAAUUCCAGGUGUAGCGGUGAAAUGCGUAGAGAUCUGGAGGAAUACCGAUGGCGAAGGCAGCCAUCUGGCCUAAUACUGACGCUGAGGUACGAAAGCAUGGGGAGCAAACA